rnacentral:rRNA from 1 species
UGCAGUCGUAUGGGAUACCUAAAUUUCCCAUGGCAGACUGCUCAGUAACACAUGAUCAACUUCCCCUAUGGAGAGAGAUAACCUCGGGAAACUGAGGAUAAUAUUUCAUAGUUGAAUUGGCUUGGAAAAGUUUUUCAAUAAAAGGAAUAAGAAAAAUGGUUCUUAUUUGCCAUAGGAUAGGAUCGUGUUCGAUUAUGGUUGUUGGUGAGAUAAUGGCUCACCAAGCCGAUAAUCGAUAGGGGCCGUGAGAGCGGGAGCCCCGAGAUGGGUACUGAGACAACGACCCAGGCCUUACGAGGCGCAGCAGGCGCGAAACCUCCACAAUACACGAAAGUGUGAUGGGGUUACCCAAAGUGUUCAAUACUGAACUGUGGUAGGUGAGUAAUGUUCCCUACUAGAAAGGAGAGGGCAAGGCUGGUGCCAGCCGCCGCGGUAAAACCAGCUCUUCAAGUGGUCGGGAUAAUUAUUGGGCUUAAAGUGUCCGUAGCUGGUUUAGUAAGUUCCUGGUAAAAUCGGGUAGCUUAACUAUCUGUAUGCUAGGAAUACUGCUAUACUAGAGGGCGGGAGAGGUCUGAGGUACUACAAGGGUAGGGGUGAAAUCUUAUAAUCCUUGUAGGACCACCAGUGGCGAAGGCGUCAGACUGGAACGCGCCUGACAGUGAGGGACGAAAGCCAGGGGAGCGAACCGGAUUAGAUACCCGGGUAGUCCUGGCCGUAAACGAUGCAUACUAGGUGAUGGCAUGGUCAUGAGCCGUGUCAGUGCCGUAGGGAAACCGUUAAGUGUGCCGCCUGGGAAGUACGGUCGCAAGGCUAAAACUUAA